rnacentral:rRNA from 1 species
UACGUAGGGUGCAAGCGUUGUCCGGAAUUAUUGGGCGUAAAGAGCGCGUAGGCGGUCUGUCGCGUCGGAUGUGAAAACCCAAGGCUCAACCCUGGGCCUGCAUUCGAUACGGGCAGACUAGAGUUCGGUAGGGGAGACUGGAAUUCCUGGUGUAGCGGUGAAAUGCGCAGAUAUCAGGAGGAACACCGAUGGCGAAGGCAGGUCUCUGGGCCACUACUGACGCUGAGAAGCGAAAGCAUGGGGAGCGAACAGG